UUUAUCGGAGAGUUUGAUCCUGGCUCAGGACGAACGCUGGCGGCGUGCCUAAUACAUGCAAGUCGAGCGGACAGAUGGGAGCUUGCUCCCUGAUGUUAGCGGCGGACGGGUGAGUAACACGUGGGUAACCUGCCUGUAAGACUGGGAUAACUCCGGGAAACCGGGGCUAAUACCGGAUGCUUGUUUGAACCGCAUGGUUCAAA
rnacentral:rRNA from 1 species